CCCGCCCCUCGUGUCCUCGCUGUAUCCGGCAGCGUUAAUAAAGUUGCAGCGGUCUGACAUUAGCGGCGGACAACAUGGCGGCCUCCACUCUCGGCUUUCUGUUGCGGACAGUCCGGCAGGUGGUUCCUUCAUCAGCUUCAGGCCAAGUUCGAAGUUACUAUGUAGAUUGGAAAAUGUUGCGUGAUGUGAAGAGAAGAAAAAUGGCCUAUGAGUAUGCAGAUGAGAGGCUUCGGAUCAAUUCUCUCAGGAAGAAUACUAUUCUGCCGAAAGACCUUCAGGGCUUCCCUGGUGGCACAGUGGUUAAGAAUGUACCUGUCAAUGCAGAGGACACAGGUUCGAGCCGUGGUCCAGGAAGAUCCCACACACUGCAAGAGCAACUAAGCCCACGCACCACAAGUACUGAGCCUCUGUUCUAGAGCCUGUAAGCCACAACUACUGAGCCCACAUGCCACAACUACUGAAGUCUGUGUGCCUAGAGCCUGUGCUCUGCAACAAGAGAAGCCAUCACAAUGAGAAGCCCGCACACCGCAACGAAGAGUAGCCCCUGCUCAAUGGUGACUACAGAAAGCCCAUGCAUAGCAACGAAGACCCAACACCGCCUAAAAGGAUCCGGGAAGAUGGUGGAAGAGUAAGAGACAGAGAUCACCUUCCUCCCCACAGAUACAUCAGAAAUACAUCUACACGUGCAACAACUACAGAACACCCACUGAACACUGGCAGAAGACCUCAGACCUCCCAAAAGGCAAGAAACUCCCC